UACAGAGGGUGCGAGCGUUGUUCGGAAUACUGGGCGUAAAGCGCGCGCAGGCGGAUCCUGUAAGUCUGAAGUGAAAUCUCACUGCUCAACGGUGAGACUGCUCUGGAUACUGCGGAUCUUGAGACCGGUAGAGACUGGUAGAAUUGCAGGUGUAGCGGUGGAAUGCGUAGAGAUCUGCAAGAAUACCCGUGGCGAAGGCGGCCAGUUGGGCCGGUUCUGACGCUGAGGCGCGAAAGCUAGGGGAGCGAACAGG
rnacentral:rRNA from 1 species